GAUAGACUCACUGCCCUUGACUUUUUUUCCCUACAGUUUUAUGAAAAGAGAAUUGAUUACCAUCAGAGGACUAUUGCCUGUCCAUUACCAAUGCUGGGCACUUAAAAAAUGAGGCACAGUCUGGAAAGGAGACACUGUGGGGAGUUAGUCUGCUCUCUUCAAGGAUUGUCUGUCUUGCAUUCCUCAAGAUCCAGGGUUUGUUAGUUGAAGUUCUUC
rnacentral:lncRNA from 1 species